AUUGAACGCUGGCGGCAGGCCUAACACAUGCAAGUCGAACGGUAACAGGAAGAAGCUUGCUUCUUUGCUGACGAGUGGCGGACGAGUGAGUAAUGUCUGGGAAACUGCCUGAUGGAGGGGGAUAACUACUGGAAACGGUAGCUAAUACCGCAUAACGUCGCAAGACCAAAGAGGGGGACCUUCGGGCCUCUUGCCAUCGGAUGUGCCCAGAUGGGAUUAGCUAGUAGGUGGGGUAACGGCUCACCUAGGCGACGAUCCCUAGCUGGUCUGAGAGGAUGACCAGCCACACUGGAACUGAGACACGGUCCAGACUCCUACGGGAGGCAGCAGUGGGGAAUAUUGCACAAUGGGCGCAAGCCUGAUGCAGCCAUGCCGCGUGUAUGAAGAAGGCCUUCGGGUUGUAAAGUACUCUCAGCGGUGAGGAAGGGAGUAAAGUUAAUACCUUGGCUCAUUGACGUUACCCGCAGAAGAAGCACCGGCUAACUCCGUG
rnacentral:rRNA from 1 species